rnacentral:tRNA from 4 species
UUCGAAUCCCGGGCAACCCAUUGUUAUAUCGAAGU